rnacentral:lncRNA from 1 species
UGCAGGACUUGCGGCUCUCUAGGACCGAACUUGCCUACCCCUGGCCUAAACCAAGGGUCUUCUUCAACUGGGGGUCCGCAGCGGCACUGCACUGCAGGGAGUCCGCCAAUUAAUGUUUGAUUAAACAUUAAUCAAACAAAAUUAAAACAUGGGUUAAAAAAAACAUCACAAAGUCCGUUUUAAAUAAGCACCCUGAAACGAAAGCAUGGAAGAGCACCUUCAGUUGAUACUGUAAUGAACUAAUAUUAUUGGCGAAACAGAUUUAGCAAACGCUCCAUAGUGUUUCUGAGUUUGAGAGAUGCAGCCAAUCAGAGAUGUUUGUUGAUCUCUUGAACGCAAUGGCUACUCAGAAGUGUGUACACCUGCAACGCCGAAGUUUUGUUCAGUGUUGAGUUAUGCUCGCAACAGCGAAUCAUUAACAAAGAACGACGAGAUGCGCAGCAGAUCAUGUGCUACACAACUUCGGACCGUACGAAGUCGCCGAGAUGAGGACAUGCAGAGUCCAAUGAUGCUUCUGAGGAAGUGCGUUGCUCUUUGAAGUGAGGAAGGAAGGUUGAGAGAGCUCUCUCCAGCACAUGCCUCCCUCAUUAGUGUCCAGCAGCUGAAGACUCGAGGUCACAAACCCAAUGAACUGCCCAUUUCAUUCAGCUUUGCCGACAUGGAAAGAUGACCACUGUGACCUAAUGUUGCAGUAUGGUCUGACAGCACAUUGUACACAACAUACAAAGUAGCUUGAAUAACCCUUGAAUCUUGUGUGGAGUGCAUUAUUUUUUAUGAAAUUGCUGUAGUGUCCAACUUUUCAGCAUGCUUGUAGAUUUUAUUCAUUCCAUAAAUUGUGCAUUUUUCUAAAAAAAAAAAAAAGGGAACAGGUCUUGUGAUUUAUUUGCUGAACUGUGGGUGAUGAAAUAUUUAAUAUCCUGGGUAUUAAAAUGAUCAGUCUCGGAUCUAUUGAGAGGGUUGACAUGGUUGAAUCAGAACCACACUAAGGAACUGCUGCACAGGGAAUUAUUGCUUCAGUCUGAACAUGUCACCUCUACAAUAUUUCUAUGAUUAUAAUGUACAAUUAUCCUUUUUUUUUUCGUUCUCGGAUCUAAGUUUUCUCUAGCUUGUCAUUGUUAAAAGAUUUAAAGUACACAAUAUGAAAGAACAAUAAAGUCUAGACUCAAUGUCAUUGCUUGGAUUUGAUUUAUACACUUAAGUAUUUCACAUGCAUAAUGCAAAGUAGAGCUCUCACACUUACUGUACACAUAAUGUGACUAAGGUAAAAUGAGCAAGAUAAAAUUUCAUGUUUUAAUGCCCCAGAAAAGCUGGUUG